rnacentral:misc_RNA from 1 species
GACAGAGCUUUCGUGUCGCGAGACUUAACUUUACCGAUUUGACAGCCUUGAUAACGUUGAUGUAGUCUUGACACAUGACACGGUGCGUGGAAUAGAAAUAAGUCCUCCAAAUGUCCAGAAAGCGCGUGUGCUAACGGUAUUAUUUGGAUGAUUCAUUGCUGAGCAGAGGUGGUAACAGCCUCUAUUAUAACAGCUAUAUAAAUGGAUGAAAGUAAAGUGGGAGUUUUGUUGAGAAAACACAUCGACAUGGAGGAUAUCAAGUUCAAGUUCUUAUCGCUGAUUCACAAGCAGAAUCAGGCUAAGAUCCCGUCAAUGGGAUUGAAUCCCGAUCUCCUCAACCCAAUCGAAUCUCAAGGCCUUAACGACAUUCAGUCCGAUGCUAGUCAUUCGACUGAAAGCGAGCUGCUUCCCGAUCAAGACAUUCUGGAAUCCAUAGAAUCUGUGUAUUACGAGAGCGAUGACUGCUUUGAUUGUUGUCGUCAUGAGUUACAGAAACUUCCCGAAGUUCUGAAUUCUAAAGUAAUCGAAAGAGACUACAAAAGGCUUAAACAAGAGCACCAAGUUGUUUCUAAAAAAGUGUUACAGCUAAUAUUGCAAAAGCAAAGCUUAUGCCAAAAGGAGUUCGAAAGAAUCUUGUACAUUCAAGAAGAACUUCAAAAUGCCUUGGAAAUUUGCCGAAGUGGAAGGAUGGAUUUAAGCCUUGCUAAAAAACAGUUCACCACUGCUAGUCUUGGGAUUUUGGCUAACUAUCAAAAGAAACAAGUCGUUCAAGGGCUUCUGCAUAGUUUAAACACCAUAAAAACCUUACAACGAACAGAGGACCGCCUUCAGGAACUUCUGAACGAAGGGAAUUACCCAGGAGCAAUAUCGCUGCUCCUUGAAUGCCAAAGAGCUGCUGAGAGAUAUAAACAUUUUCAUUGCGUAGCCGCACUGAAUGGGAAACUCCAGGACACCUUGGAACAGGCGGAAGAAACUCUGGAUCAAACGCUGGCAAAAAUGUGUACAGAAUUUGAAGUUGGGACGUAUUUGUCUGUCCAAGGAGCGUACAGACUUCUCGGAAAAACCCAGACGGCAAUGGACCAACUUCACAUGCACUUUACAGCAGCUAUUCAUAACGUUGCUUUUAUGGCAGUUCACGCUUUCACCGGUGGUGACACAAAAAGGCCUUAUAAACAGCUCUGCCAGUCAGUCUCGCACGAGACAUUUCUACCUUGUUUAAUCGAACUGUGCAAGUCUCUCUGGGCCAUUUUAAUUUCCUAUUGUCAAGUUGUCAAUUGGCACAAUACGCAUGAAAGCUGGUCAGAUGAGACUGAAGAAAAAGAUCUAGAAGCUACCUUUAAUAAACAGUAUGUUAAGCAAAAGCUGGAAAAUGGAAUGUCCAGAAUGUGGCACGAUGUAGAAACCAAAAUAUCCACGUAUUUGUUGGGCGCUGAUUUGGCCUACUUCAAGUUUGAGCAGUUUGUACAAAUUUUGGGAAUCGUUCAUAGGUUAAUCGAAGUUGGGGAAGAGCUCUGCUCAAGUCAGUCAGAGAAUCUCCAAGAAUCAAUAAGAAAACAGUGCUCUUCCUACUUUGCUCAUUACCACGCGUCUCGAUUAGACGAGUUGAAGAUAUUUUUGGAAAAUGAUGGCUGGGAACUUUGUCCUGUUAAGCCAUCGUUCGUUGUCACGCAACUGCAAGAAUUUAAAAGCUUGAAGACUGUCCUCAAUAGUUGUAAGCCUCGCAAUAGCCCUGACGAAUCUACCUUGAGUCAAGAUGGUAGUUCUGUCAUUGGAGGACUGGUCCAAAGAUAUUUGGAUAACGGUGUAACGCCCUUUGAUGUCAUCCUGGAUGAAGCUGCUGACGAAGACAUUUUGGCCAACAUUGGAGAUGCACCUUCUGGGUAUUUUUCAGACGAUUCUGACGACGACAUUCCGGAGGAACUGAAAUGUGAUUUUGUAGAUGAGCCCGACCAAUCGAAACCCUCGAAAAAAAAACAUAAACAACAAUUUGCUGGGCCAAUGGUAACAAACACAACGUUGAGUGUGCUCAGAGUUUGUGGAAAGUAUCUACAAAUGUCAAGAUUAUUUAGAUCCAUUGCUGUUACUGUUAUUCAAAAUAUGACACAAUUCUUUGAACUGUGUCUUUACACUGUACACAUGUUCUUCACUUCGGAUCUGCAAAUAAACAGCGACACGUUGUACACUCCAAAAUUAAAGUUGACCUUGGCUCGAAUACGCGAGACUUUGAUGGCAGACAGUGCAGUUACGACUGAGAGUGGAGCUCAGUCACAUAAAGUAACACAACCGUGUCUCUCUUCGAUAGUGAACUUGACUCAGCCAGAAAAAAUUCAUGGCUUGAUGAAAAGAGUGAUAGCCGUUGAAUCUCUGAUAUUUUUGGGACAGCAGUACGAAAUUUUGAGGCCUUAUUUGGAGCACCUAGUAGCUUCUCCCUGCCACGGAUUUCUUCAUCAAUUCUAUUCCCAAACGAUUGCAGCAGCUACAGAUCUCCGAAAACCUGUUUACAUGGCUGCUGCAUCUCAGUCCUUCGAUGUUGGCGGUAUAUUAACGCUGAUGUCGAAAGUUAAUUGGGAAGUGAGAGAUGUUAUGUCACAGCACAGCAGUUAUAUUGACAAUCUAUUAAGGUUUCUCGAAUGCAAAGAAAUGUUCAAAUGGAGGCAGAGCCUUGAUGCAGUUGGAUUUUACCCAAUUAAUGUCGAAGUUUGAAAAAUUAACAUCUUUGCGACCUAUGCCGCACAGAGAAUACGUCGAGGCAUACGUCAAGGCUUAUUAUUUGCCUGAAAACAUAUUGGAAGAAUGGAUAAAGCAACAUAAGGAAUAUUCUACAAAACAUUUGAUCGGUCUUAUAUCGUGCGGAUGUCAAAACAACAAAAAAACCCGACAGCGAUUAAUAUCCAUCAUAGAGGAGGAACGACCGAGCAGAUAACAACAAGCUGUAUGAUCAAUAACUGUAAAACGAAGUUGCAAUAGAAUUAUAAAAUUUGAAUAUUAUCGAAUUGCUGCUCUGCUAUAAUUAUAAUAUAAAUCUGACACAAUUAUUGUGAUACUUAAGUUGUCAAUACUGUUAUGUAUAUGUUGUACAGUUUCUCUAACUGUUAGGUAAAAAACACAUUCUAGCUUUACAGCAAAUAUUUCGCAAAUCGGUGCAUAUCAUUACUUAAUGAUACUUACAUUCUGUGUUAAACACCGAUAUGAAUCUCUCAUUUGAACAUGUGCGAGUAACGGUUGUUAAAUAUUUUUGGAUUGAUUCAGAAAAGAUUUAAAUGGAAGAGAUAAAAUACAGACGGGAGGCUUAUAGAUAUAAAAAUAAUUGAACUGGUUUCGAUUUUCGAAUCCAAACCGUGACGAAAUCUCCCUGCUGGCAAGUUACGAUGUAAUCUCAUUGAACUCACGUUGGAAAAGUUAUUAUCUCUUAUGUACAUUGUUUAUACGAUUCUUUACUAUGAAUUUUUAAUCCCUAAAAAGUGAAAUAAAGACAUAUUUGUAGGUA